UACUGCCUAAAGAUGGGCUCAGAGAACCCCAUUUCAAAUUAUUUCUGCCUCGAACAUGCAAGCCUGCUUGACUAUUACCCUUUGCCUGUGUACAACAUGUUUGGUCUGUCUCUAAUAGCCCUUCGCCACUCCUUUCCUUCAGAAUGUCUGAUAUAAGUGAGAGCAUCAAGGACGCAGUCAUUUCUGUCCUGCCAAGUGUGCCAGAAGAAACGAUCUUACACCAGGGAGUGGAAAGCAAAGAUGACUUGCAGUACAUAAGAGAACAGGAAAUUGCAGAGGUUAUUCGACCAAUUCAGUGCAGAAAACUUUUAAAUGCAUGGAAAUGAGCAGGUUUCUGCCUCUGCUGCUGACGUUGAGAGGUCCUUAACUUUGCCUGACAGUCCUCGAUUGAUUGUUCUCGAACUCGCCUCCGCAGGCGAGGACCCCGUGGCGACGGAACCUCUCCAAACUUCGCUAUCCCUCACUGACCCCCUGUGACGACUUCACGGUCGCAGGAGGGCUAUGGAACUGCCAGUCUGCUACGCGGAAGGCUGACUUCAUUUCAGCCUACGCGUCCCUCUUCUCCCUACAUUUCCUUGCCCUCACUGAGACCUGGAUCACACCAGGCAACACUGCAACCCCUGCAGCCCUCUCCUCCUCCUUCUCCUUUCUCUCACGCCUCCGCCCGUCUGGCCGUGGUGGGGGCACAGGGCCCCUGGGAAGCUUCCUCGAUGAGCUCAACACCCUGCUCAGCUCCUUCCCAGAGAAUGGUGUAGAGGGGAGUCAAACUGGGACCCAGAAAAGGCUGGCAUUUGAACGGGCCUGCAGGCUGGGACUCAUCCUGUACUUCAAAGAACCCAGAGCCGUGUGAUAAAACAAUAAGUUACUUGGACUUCCUCGGGAUAAGCAGGCCAUUUGGCUCUCUGGAAUGUUGCCAUCUGGACACAUCUAAGAUAAGGGGAACUAGUCUCUUUGUCUAUGGUUGUGGGGGUAUGUGUGUUCGGGCCAUUAAGGGUAAAAAGAUCAUCAGGCCUCUGGACAAAUGGUGGGGCAACUACGCUUGACAGUUCCACAGUGCCGUUAUGUGGGCCCCUCUAUCAUUACACUUUUUAUUUAUUUUCUGGAUCUGGACUCUAAACCAUCUGUUUAUCAUAUUUACAAACCCCGGAAAACCUUACAAACCAUGCACGUGUUUUCAUUAUAUUACUGUAUUAUGCCUUAUGUAAUAAUAACAUGGAUUGCAUGUAAAAUGCUUCAACAAAAGGGUAUUUUCAUGACAACUGCACCAUAAUAUUACAUCCCCGGGACAUGUUUGGCAUAUUCAGGAAAAUUCCAGAAAUUGAAUGAAAAAUGUUUCAUACCCAAUAAAAUUUAAUGAAACAUA